CAAACCAAUCUAUUGAGCAUUGCUCAAAGCACUGUGGAACAUAUGACCCCAAGAUGUUCAAAAUCAAAGAGUAAGAUAUGACCUUGAGAAAGAGCCGAGGUCAGUGACAAUCAACCUUGAAGAGCAGGUGAACUAAUUGCCUCAAGAAGUGAACCUCAAGACCGCUCCCACUGCAUCCCUUGAACUGCCUUUCUUUGGGGACCUGAGAACAAUGGAACAAAGCGGCAAAGGAUUCUGGGAAGAAAACCGCAUGCUGGCAUCAAGCCCCAGCGUUUUAUAGAACCAAGUGGAAGGUGCCACAGAGAUGGUCUUUUCUGGAGAAAGAGAAAGGGGCUCUAACUGCAUAAGCCAGGAUACAUGCUGAAAAGCCAAGACAAACUUUCUUACUAUACUGAGCACAAGAAUAUUGAGUCAGCUGAGGAAAGAGACAGAUGACAUUCCACUGUCAAGUUUUCAUGGCAGAAAUAAGAA